GGCGGAUUUACGACCGGGGCUGCCUGGGCUGCAGCCCCGGUCGCGGCCCAGUAACGGGAGAGCGAUUUCGUGCCCAGCUCUGCCUCGUGCCCAUUACUCAGCCCCGCGCGACUGCGCCUAACCUAAACCAGCCGCCAGCCGUGG